UAUCAACUGAUGCGAAGUUACCUAGAUAAGCCACUUGUGACAGAACACCCUCUGACUAUGACCUUUUUCCCAUUCCUGUUGCUACAUACCGCAUGGUACCUUUCGGUGGGAGACAAGUGUCAGUGGGACUACUGAUGCAUUCCCCUGGUCAGCGCCAUCUGACGUGUUUGGUACC